rnacentral:rRNA from 1 species
AACGUAGGUACCGAGCGUUAUCCGGAUUUACUGGGCGUAAAGCGCGUUCAGGCGGCUCAGCAAGUCGGGCAUGAAAUCUCUCGGCUCAACCGGGAGGGGCUGUCCGAAACUGCUGGGCUUGAGGGCAGUAGAGGGUGGUGGAAUUCCGGGUGUAGUGGUGAAAUGCGUAGAUAUCCGGAGGAACACCAGUGGCGAAAGCGGCCACCUGGACUGUACCUGACGCUCCAACGCGAAAGCUAGGGGAGCGAACGGG